AAUAGUUUGUCUGACAUGAAGCACUUCUGUGCUGGAAUGUUUGUGCAAAGGAAGAAACUUGUUCUCUGUUGAAAAAGUGGCAGGACACUGUGCAUGCUUUCUGGCACCUGAAAAAGUUCCAAACAGCUGGCUAAAUAGGUCAAAGAGUGGAAAGAGUAAGAACACAAAUGCAAACAUAAAACAGGAAAAAGGCCAAGGUAAAGGAUCUUGAGAAAGGACAGAAAAUUCUUUCAAGAUCUUGAAAAUUGUUUUGGGACAAGAAGACCCUUUCCUGCACAACUCUACCAAACACCUGUCUACAAGCUGUAGAGAGCUGUAUACUGUGUUACUUGGCUGAACAAACACAUUCAGUGACAGACCUUGGCAAGAGCUGCAAAGAUGUUCUUGAGAAUGGCAUGAAUAAAUAUUAGGUGCUGCAUACAAUUCACUGCUUCCCAGGUCUUCAGCAAAACCAGGAAUCAAUUAAAAUCACAGCUGCUUUGGAGUUCAUGGCAGGCACUUCAACAAUAUAGCCUAAAUAAAGGACUUUUAUACCUGCUGAACAGAAUUUACCAAUCAGAUUUCAUCCCUACAACUGCAACCAGUUUACAAGCAUAUAAAGAAAAGGUAGCCACUAACAGGAGAAGGCUGGCCUGCUGAAUGCAGCAGAUUGGAAGGCUAAUUGGGAAAGGUAUCCAGCUGAAGGGAGCUUGCAGCUGAUUAACCUAAGGCUUGAGACACAAACUUCAUCUCAAGAAAGAGGGAACUCUUGCUUGAAGAAUAAGACUGACUGACUGACCUAAAGUAAGAGACCUGAGAAAACUACUAGCACAACAAUCCAGCUGCUGCAGGGAAGAGCUGAGACUGGCUUUCAGGAAAUGCCUCUGUAGCUGGCCCCAGGAGAAGCCAUGAGGAACCACAAAGUUCAGGUACAUGUCAGGCAUGUGAGGAAAGGGAGAUGGAUCUUGCCUUGGAUGAUGCUUUCUCCAAAAUGAUGUCAAAUUGAUGGGCCUGCAGUUCCCUAGAGUGGCCAUUAUAAAUAUCAGUACUACCGUGAAAAGCUUCCAGUCUUCUGGAACCUCAUUUGAACUAAGGAAGUUCUCCAUAAUGAUCAUUAAUGAUGUAUUGCUUGCAUAUAAAUGUUGGAUAUUAAUCUUUUGUAUAUUUGUACUAUUCUAUCAGAGGUUUGUUCAUCCCUUUAAUACACAGCUAAUCAAUGAGUGAAACAGUAUUGUGCUUAUGAGAACUCUGCAUGUAUACUUAGUGAAGUACUAUUUUUAUUUUUAGCUCUUUUGGUGGUGAACCUUUUCAAAAUUCUAACUCUUUUCUGUUGAAUGAACUGUAAUGUCCUUUAAAAUCAAACAUUGAAAAUGCACUGAGUGAAUUAAGAUGUACUCAGAACAAAGAAUUUUUGAGAGAUGUAAACUAGAGCUAGGUGAAAAAAUCUGCAAAUAUUUGCAGAUUUUUAUAUACAUUCGUUGAUCAUGUGCAUUCCCCUUUGCACUUGUUUUUCAUGAACAUUUGAGUGAUUGAAUCACACAGGCCCACAUGUUCUUGGAGAGUUAAUUGCAAAGUUGUGGAAUCUGAUGAUGAUUCGUGUGUCAAAUUAAAAUGCAAAACCGCUUCUCCAGUCAUCUAUUGAAGGAACAGAAAAAAAUGUAAUGCGACUUUUCUGACCAAUUAUGACUAAGCAAUGCAGCUUAACUAACAAGCCCUGAAUUCUUGCAGUCACUGUUCAUGAUUUACAGAAUUUUUAAAAAGUGUGCGUAGAGGGAAGAGAGACUGAAUAACAAAUACAUUUGAAGAAAUGAUCUGCUUAUUGACAUUCCAAGACCAGAGAUAAAAGAGGCUAAAUUAGUUGAGACAAUCCUAAAGUUAGGGGCAGGAGUUUUGUCCUGCUCCUCGUGGGAUAGGCUAGAAGUGAUUUUUGUCCUGUGUGGGUUUUUUAAAGUGUGUAUUUGCAUUGGAAUGA